UACGGAGGGUGCGAGCGUUGUUCGGAAUCACUGGGCGUAAAGGGCGUGUAGGCGGUCCGCUAAGUCUGAUGUGAAAGCCCGGGGCUCACCCCCGGAAGUGCAUUGGAAACUGACGGACUCGAGUCCCGGAGAGGAGGGUGGAAUUCCUGGUGUAGCGGUGAAAUGCGUAGAUAUCAGGAGGAACACCGGUGGCGAAGGCGGCCCUCUGGACGGUGACUGACGCUGAGACGCGAAAGCGUGGGGAGCAAACAGGAUUAGAAACCCUAGUAGUCC
rnacentral:rRNA from 1 species